GACGAACGCUGGCGGCGUGCUUAACACAUGCAAGUCGAACGGAAAGGCCCUGCUUUUGUGGGGUGCUCGAGUGGCGAACGGGUGAGUAACAAGUGAGUAACCUGCCCUUGACUUUGGGAUAACUUCAGGAAACUGGGGCUAAUACCGGAUAGGAGCUCCUGCUGACUGGUGGGGGUUGGAAAGUUUCGGCGGUUGGGGAUGGACUCGCGGCUUAUGAGCUUGUUGGUGGGGUAGUGGCUUACCAAGGCUUUGACGGGUAGCCGGCCUGAGAGGGUGACCGGCCACAUUGGGACUGAGAGACGGCCCAGACUCCUACGGGAGGCAGCAGUGGGGAAUAUUGCACAAUGGGCGGAAGCCUGAUGCAGCAACGCCGCGUGCGGGAUGACGGCCUUCGGGUUGUAAACCGCUUUCGCCUGUGACGAAGCGUGAGUGACGGUAAUGGGUAAAGAAGCACCGGCUAACUACGUG
rnacentral:rRNA from 1 species